rnacentral:rRNA from 1 species
CCUACGGGAGGCAGCAGUGAGGAAUAUUGGUCAAUGGACGAGAGUCUGAACCAGCCAAGUAGCGUGAAGGAUGACUGCCCUAUGGGUUGUAAACUUCUUUUAUAUGGGAAUAAAAUGUUCCACGUGUGGGAUUUUGUAUGUACCAUAUGAAUAAGGAUCGGCUAACUCCGUGCCAGCAGCCGCGUUAAUACGGAGGAUCCGAGCGUUAUACGGAUUUAUUGGGUUUAAAGGGAGCGUAGGUGGAUUGUUAAGUCAGUUGUGAAAGUUUGCGGGUCAACCGGAAUAUUGCAGUUGAAACUGGCGGUCUUGAGUACAGUAGAGGUAGGCGGAAUUCGUGGUGUAGCGGUGAAAUGCUUAGAUAUCACGAAGAACUCCGAUUGCGAAGGCAGCUCACUGGACUGCAACUGACGCUGAGGCUCGAAAGUGUGGGUAUCAAACAGGAUUAGAUACCCUAGUAGUC